CUGCAGUCUUACAUCCUAGCACUUUAACAAUGUGAAGAGUUUUUCUUAGAUUUCUCUUUCUCUUUUAAAGGUCAUAUCGAAAAAGAAAAUCCCUAACACCACAUAUUCAUUCUGGCAUGUUAUAUAAUCCCACAUAAAUGCCUGCUUUUGUGUGUAAUCUAAAUCUAUCUAUCUACUAUCCAUCCAUUCGUCCAACCAUCCAUAUAUCCAUCCAUCCAUGCUUUCAGUUGUUUACAUGUAUUCAUUAAAUGUAUGUUUAUGUUGUG